rnacentral:tRNA from 1 species
GCCCCAGCCCUCUUGUUUC